UACGUAGGGUGCAAGCGUUAAUCGGAAUUACUGGGCGUAAAGCGUGCGUAGGCGGUUUUGUAAGUCUGACGUGAAAUCCCCGAGCUUAACUUGGGAAUUGCGUUGGAGACUGCAAGGCUGGAGUCUGGCAGAGGGGGGGUAGAAUUCCACGUGUAGCAGUGAAAUGCGUAGAGAUGUGGAGGAACACCGAUGGCGAAGGCAGCCCCCUGGGUCAAGACUGACGCUCAUGCACGAAAGCGUGGGGAGCAAACAGG
rnacentral:rRNA from 1 species